AAAGCGGGACGGGCUGUCGCUGCUUCUUCGGAAGGAGAGGAAAGUCCGGGCUCCUUCGGACACGAUGACGGAUAACGUCCGCCAACCGUGAGGUUCGGGAAAGUGCAACAGAAAGGAUACCGCCGGUUUGAGACGCAGGCGACGCGUGCAGCGGAACUUGCGGGACAGAUCGGUAAGGGUGAAAUGGCGGUGUAAGAGACCGCCGCGGUUCAGGCAACUGAACCGGCAUGGCAAACCCCAUCGGGAGCAAAGUCGAGCAAGAGUGAAGGCAUUGUCCGAGCCGUUUGAACUCUGGGUUGACUGCUUGAGGAGUUAAGUAAUUAACUUCCUAGAUAAAUGACCGCCGCUCUGCCAUGCUGCCGGUUUCAGCCGGCAACUGGAGAGAACAGAACCCGGCUUACAGUCCCGCUUUUUAU
rnacentral:RNase_P_RNA from 1 species